rnacentral:lncRNA from 1 species
CAAUAUUUAUUUUGUUUCAUUCUAUUUGGGUUUAGGAUUUAUAUUUAGAUUUAAGGUUUAGUGAUUAGGAUUUAGGGUUUAGUAUUUAGAAGGUAGAAAUGAAAUUAGGAUCAACAUUAAAUUUUGAUAUUUGGGUUUAGGGUUUACUUUUGAUUUUAGGGUUUAAUUUUUGGUUUAUGGUUUAGUAAUUAGAGUUUAUGAUUUAGUAUUUAGAGAGUGAGAGUGAAGUUAUGAUCAGCUUUAGAUUUUAAUAUUUGGGUUUAUGAUUUAUAUUCGGGUUUAUGGUCUAAUUUUUGGUUUAAGAUUUAGUGAUUAGAGUUUAUUGAUUAGUAUUUAUAGAGUGAGAGUGAAGUUAUGAUCAGCUUUAAAUUUUAAUAUUUAGUUUAUGAUGUAUAUUUAGGUUUAGAUAUAAUUUUUCAUUGCAUUCAAAGUUUCAAACACAACACUUUGUACGACCGUAAGGUGAAAUAAUUAUAAUUCUAUUAUCACUGUUAUCAUUUAAAUGGUUAAC